AUUGAACGCUGGCGGCAGGCCUAACACAUGCAAGUCGGACGGUAGCACAGAGAGCUUGCUCUCGGGUGACGAGUGGCGGACGGGUGAGUAAUGUCUGGGGAUCUGCCCGAUAGAGGGGGAUAACCACUGGAAACGGUGGCUAAUACCGCAUAACGUCGCAAGACCAAAGAGGGGGACCUUCGGGCCUCUCACUAUCGGAUGAACCCAGAUGGGAUUAGCUAGUAGGCGGGGUAAUGGCCCACCUAGGCGACGAUCCCUAGCUGGUCUGAGAGGAUGACCAGCCACACUGGAACUGAGACACGGUCCAGACUCCUACGGGAGGCAGCAGUGGGGAAUAUUGCACAAUGGGCGCAAGCCUGAUGCAGCCAUGCCGCGUGUAUGAAGAAGGCCUUCGGGUUGUAAAGUACUUUCAGCGGGGAGGAAGGCGGUGCGGUUAAUAACCGCGCCGAUUGACGUUACCCGCAGAAGAAGCACCGGCUAACUCCGUGCCAGCAGCCGCCGCCG
rnacentral:rRNA from 1 species